UGGGGAAUAUUGGACAAUGGGCGAAAGCCUGAUCCAGCCAUGCCGCGUGUGUGAAGAAGGUCUUCGGAUUGUAAAGCACUUUAAGUUGGGAGGAAGGGCAUUAACCUAAUACGUUAGUGUUUUGACGUUACCGACAGAAUAAGCACCGGCUAACUCUGUGCCAGCAGCCGCGGUAAUACAGAGGGUGCAAGCGUUAAUCGGACUUACUGGGCGUAAAGCGCGCGUAGGGGGUUUGUUAAGUUGGAUGUGAAAUCCCCGGGCUCAACCUGGGAACUGCAUUCAAAACUGACUGACUAGAGUAUGGUAGAGGGU
rnacentral:rRNA from 1 species